rnacentral:lncRNA from 1 species
AUGGGAUCUUCAAGGGACAGCGACCAAUCUCCGCCUCACCAUCACCAACCUCUUUUGAGCAGCCUCGUCGUCCGCCCCUCCCUCGCCGAGAAUUCACCCGGUGGCGCUCAUUCCAACGAUUACGAGCCCGGUGAACUUCGCCGUGAUCCUCCUCCGCCUCCUUACUCCCGCUCUGAUCGCUAUUCUGAUGAUCCUGCUCUGAUGUUGCCUCAGGUUUUGGGCUUUGAGGAAGGCAUGUUGCUUUGA